GAUGAACGCUGGCGGCGUGCUUAACACAUGCAAGUCGAACGGAAAGGCCCAAGCUUGCUUGGGUACUCGAGUGGCGAACGGGUGAGUAACACGUGGGUGAUCUGCCCUGCACUUCGGGAUAAGCCUGGGAAACUGGGUCUAAUACCGGAUAGGACCACUUCUUGGAUGUUGUGGUGGAAAGUUUUUUCGGUGUGGGAUGAGCUCGCGGCC
rnacentral:rRNA from 1 species